rnacentral:rRNA from 1 species
UACAGAGGUCUCAAGCGUUGUUCGGAUUCAUUGGGCGUAAAGGGUGCGUAGGUGGUGACGCAAGUCUGGUGUGAAAUCUCGGAGCUCAACUCCGAAAUUGCACCGGAUACUGCGUGACUCGAGGACUGUAGAGGAGAUCGGAAUUCACGGUGUAGCAGUGAAAUGCGUAGAUAUCGUGAGGAAGACCAGUUGCGAAGGCGGAUCUCUGGGCAGUUCCUGACGCUGAGACGCGAAAGCGUGGGGAGCAAACAGG